rnacentral:tRNA from 1 species
GGUCAAAUAAUUUUAUAUUUAGAUCAGAAUCUUGUAAAUUCUGGGAACCUAGUUCGGUUUUGACCU